GUUUCUCAGUGAGCUUGUGUAAGAUCAUUGGUCUCACCAGUUGCAGCCAACCCGCGGCGAACGAACACACUGUCCCCUCGGCGGGUCGUGGCGCCUCGCGGCGUCACGGCCGGCCACCUCCCUUCGCCAAUCGCCACGCGCGCGCGGCGUCGGGUUUCCACGAUGAAUCCACCCUAAGUGACUGAGUCCCGAAUUUGACUUCGUGAAGAGGAGUGAGCUCCGCCCCCUUCGUCGCUUCGACUGAGGGGUCGGCGCUGGUUACCUCGCGAGUUGAAACAGGUCAUAACACCAAAACAACUCUCAGCAACGGAUAUCUUGGCUCUUGCAACGAUGAAGAACGCAGCGAAAUGCGAUACGUAGUGUGAAUUGCAGAAUUCCGCGAAUCAUCGAGUCUUUGAACGCAAGUUGCGCCCGAGGCUUGUCCAAGGGCAUUUCCGCUAGAGCGUCACCGCGCCCCCCACCCCCCUUUCCCAAUCGGGAGUCGGGUCGAGUGAAAGUGGCCGUCCCGGUGGUGAGCCUCCUUGUCUUGCGAGAAGGACUUAGGCCUCACUUAGGGUCGGCUGAAAUGGAAGGAAUCGGGCCGCCGUGGCGACACAGUCCGCGAUCGGGUGAUCCGAGCUCCUCCGGGAGCCCGGAAUUUUUCUAAGUGUUGGCUGCGUCGCCCAGUUGGCUUUGUAUACCUCGUGCAGGUUGAGCGCGCCCCUUCAUGGGGCACGCGUCACGCAUCAGACCUCUAAUCGGAAAAGACCACCCGCUGAG
rnacentral:rRNA from 1 species